UGCAAGUCGGACGGGAUCCAUCGGAGAGCUUGCUCGAAGAUGGUGAGAGUGGCGCACGGGUGCGUAACGCGUGAGCAACCUACCUCUAUCAGGGGGAUAGCCUCUCGAAAGAGAGAUUAACACCGCAUAACAUCAACAGUUCGCAUGUUCGGUUGAUUAAAUAUUUAUAGGAUAGAGAUGGGCUCGCGUGACAUUAGCUAGUUGGUAGGGUAACGGCCUACCAAGGCGACGAUGUCUAGGGGCUCUGAGAGGAGAAUCCCCCACACUGGUACUGAGACACGGACCAGACUCCUACGGGAGGCAGCAGUAAGGAAUAUUGGUCAAUGGGCGGAAGCCUGAACCAGCCAUGCCGCGUGCAGGAUGACUGCCCUAUGGGUUGUAAACUGCUUUUGUCCAGGAAUAAACCUAAAUACGUGUAUUUAGCUGAAUGUACUGGAAGAAUAAGGAUCGGCUAACUCCGUGCCAGCAGCCGCGGUAAUACGGAGGAUCCGAGCGUUAUCCGGAUUUAUUGGGUUUAAAGGGUGCGUAGGCGGCCUAUUAAGUCAGGGGUGAAAUACGGUGGCUCAACCAUCGCAGUGCCUUUGAUACUGAUGGGCUUGAAUCCAUUUGAAGUGGGCGGAAUAAGACAAGUAGCGGUGAAAUGCAUAGAUAUGUCUUAGAACUCCGAUUGCGAAGGCAGCUCACUAAGCUGGUAUUGACGCUGAUGCACGAAAGCGUGGGGAUCGAACAGGAUUAGAUACCCUGGUAGUCCACGCCCUAAACGAUGAUAACUCGAUGUUGGCGAUAGACAGCCAGCGUCCCAGCGAAAGCGUUAAGUUAUCCACCUGGGGAGUACGCCCGCAAGGGUGAAACUCAAAGGAAUUGACGGGGGCCCGCACAAGCGGAGGAGCAUGUGGUUUAAUUCGAUGAUACGCGAGGAACCUUACCCGGGCUUGAAAGUUAGUGAAGAGUGCAGAGACGCACUCGUCCUUCGGGACACGAAACUAGGUGCUGCAUGGCUGUCGUCAGCUCGUGCCGUGAGGUGUUGGGUUAAGUCCCGCAACGAGCGCAACCCCUAUGUUUAGUUGCCAGCAUGUCAUGGUGGGGACUCUAAACAGACUGCCUGUGCAAACAGAGAGGAAGGUGGGGACGACGUCAAGUCAUCAUGGCCCUUACGUCCGGGGCUACACACGUGCUACAAUGGAUGGUACAGCGGGCAGCUACAUAGCAAUAUGAUGCUAAUCUCUAAAAGCCAUUCACAGUUCGGAUUGGGG
rnacentral:rRNA from 1 species